GAUGAACGCUGGCGGCGUGCCUAAUACAUGCAAGUCGAGCGAACAGACGAGGAGCUUGCUCCUCUGACGUUAGCGGCGGACGGGUGAGUAACACGUGGAUAACCUACCUAUAAGACUGGGAUAACUUCGGGAAACCGGAGCUAAUACCGGAUAAUAUAUUGAACCGCAUGGUUCAAUAGUGAAAGACGGUUUUGCUGUCACUUAUAGAUGGAUCCGCGCCGCAUUAGCUAGUUGGUAAGGUAACGGCUUACCAAGGCGACGAUGCGUAGCCGACCUGAGAGGGUGAUCGGCCACACUGGAACUGAGACACGGUCCAGACUCCUACGGGAGGCAGCAGUAGGGAAUCUGCCGCAAUGGGCGAGAGCCUGACGGAGCAACGCCGCGUGAGUGAUGAAGGUCUUCGGAUCGUAAAACUCUGUUAUUAGGGAAGAACAAAUGUGUAAGUAACUAUGCACGUCUUGACGGUACCUAAUCAGAAAGCCACGGCUAACUACGUG
rnacentral:rRNA from 1 species